rnacentral:rRNA from 1 species
CUUCCGUAGUGACCUGCGGGGGGAUCAUUCCCCCCCUAUAAAACUUUCCACGUGAACCGUUUCAAACCCAAUAGUUGGGGGUCUUAUUUGGCGGCGGCUGCUGGCCCUAAUUGUUGGCGGCUGCUGCUGAGUGAGCCCUAUCAAAAAAAAGGCGAACGUUUGGGCUUCGGCCUGAUUUAGUAGUCUUUUUUUCUUUUAAACCCAUUCCUUAAUACUGAAUAUACUGUGGGGACGAAAGUCUCUGCUUUUAACUAAAUAGCAACUUUCAGCAGUGGAUGUCUAGGCUCGCUCAUCGAUAAAGAACGCUGCGAACUGCGAUACGUAAUGCGAAUUGCAGGAUUCAGUGAGUCAUCGAAAUUUUGAACGCAUAUUGCACUUCCGGGUUAGUCCUGGAAGUAUGCCUGUAUCAGUGUCCGUACAUUAAACUUGACUUUCUUCCUUCCGUGUAGUCGGUGGAGGAGAUGUCAGAUGUGAAGUGUCUUGCGAUUGGUCUUCGGACCGGCUUGCGAGUCCUUUUAACUCCCCUCAACUGAGCUUCUCUUUGCUCGAAAAGUGGUGGCGUUGCAGGUUGUGAAGGCUGCUAUUGUGGCAAAUUGCCGACUGGUUUGUCUGCUGCGGCGUUAAUGGAAGAGUGUUCGAUUCGUGGUAUGGUUGGCUUCGGCUGAACAAUGCACUUAUUGGACGUUUUUCCUGCUGUGGCGUGAUGGACUGGUGAACCAUAGCUCGGUGGCUUGGCUUUUGAAUUGGCUUUGCUGUUGCGAAGUAGGGUGGCAGCUUCGGUUGUCGAAGGUCGAUCCAUUUGGGAACUUAAUGUGUACUUCGGUAUGCAUCUCAAUUGGACCUGAUAUCAGUCAAGAUACCCCACUUUCCCUU